GCCUGGGUAGCUCAGUCGGUUGGGCAUCUGACUUCAAUUCAGGUCAUGAUCUCACAGUUCACGAGUUCGAGCCCCGCAUCGGGCU
rnacentral:tRNA from 1 species